rnacentral:rRNA from 1 species
GAUGAACGCUGGCGGCGUGCCUUAUACAUGCAAGUCGAGUGGGUUUAGACCCACGGCACACGGGUGAGUAACCCGUAGGUACUUUCCUUGUCACAGGAAUAACCCUCCGAAAGGAGGGCUAAUACCUGAUGUGAUCGCAAGAUUAAAGGGUAUCCGCAAGGAUUACCGGACAAGAAGAGGCCUGCGGCCUAUCAGCUAGUUGGCGGGGUAAAUGCCCACCACGGCUAUGACGGGUAGCUGGUCUUAUGAGGAUGAUCAGUCACAUGGGCACUGAGACACGGGCCCAACUCCUACGGGAGGCAGCAGUAGGGAAUUUUGCGCAAUGGGCGAAAGCCUGACGCAGCGACGCCGCGUGCGGGAGGAAGGCCUUCGGGUCGUAAACCGCUUUUAUAAGGGACGAACUUUGACGGUACCUUAUGAAUAAGAGGUUGCUAACUCUGUG